UUAUCCAAUGAACUCUAAUGCAUACGAAAAUAGCUUAUCAAAUGAACUCUAAUGCUUACGAAAAUAUCAUUUUCUAUUAUGAACUUUUAGUUCAAAUUGAAAUGUGAUCUUCCUUCAACCAUUCGUCUUCCUCUUUCUCAUUGCAUUUUUUUCAUUUUAUGAGGUUCUAGUUAUUACACAACACGUUAUCAGCACGAAUUGCUUUUGAAGUUGGAUUGUAUCAACACAAGACACCAUGUCGUAUCAACGUUGGCGAAAGAGAUAAAAGACAAAAUUGUUGAUCUGGUAUGAAAACCCUUAAUUGUUUUAAUUUUAUUUCCUCUUUUCUCAUCGAUUGUUGGUAUGAUAAAACUCUAAAAUUAACUUACGAUUUUCUUGAUCUUUUUUAUUGGUUAUGAUUUAAGAUUAAAAUUAUCAUGAACAACAUUGAUAUCAUCCUUAUUUAACCAGGAUCAUAAUGUUUUUACUUCUUUGUUUACUUUACUAUGUGUUAACAUAUCUGAAUAAUUUUCUUUUCACAAACAAACACCUAUGAAAAAACAUUGAGAUGUGAAGAAAAGAAAGUAAAAGUAAACCAGAAACACAAUGGUUUUUCAAAUUAAUUAUUUACAGUAUUGUAACUAAUUUCUUACACCUCUUGGUUAUCUCCCUUUUAUCAUUAAAUAUUUUAUUGGAUUUCAAGAGAAGUUUUGGUACACUAAACUGAAUAGGUAUGUUUCAUUAACGGUUUGAAAAGUUGAAGUAUCUAGUGAAUUUAUGCGUUAAUUUAGUUGUCCCAAAUAUGCAAUAUAUAUUUAAAUCUCCUGUUCAUUUUGAAACCACUCUAACGAUUUUAAUAAUAUAAUUCUACUUGUAUGUCAACUAACUCUUGGAAGAUUUAGUUUUGGUUUUUGAAUUGUAAUCAACUUAUUACUUGUGGGAUAAAUUGCUUUUAUUAUUAUGGUUAUAAGUUUUGAUUAGUCAAUUAAUUAGUUUUUGGGGUUUCAAAGAGACAUUACAAAUUCUAAAUCAUUAUAUUGCUUUUAUUAUUAUGGUUAUAUUGUUUUGAUAUCAUUAUGUGUUUUUAUUAUUUUUGGGGUUUUCAAAGAGACAUUACAAAUUCUAAAGCAUUAUGUGCUUUUAUUAUUAUGGUUAUGAGUUUUGAUUGGUCCAUUAAUUAGUUUUUGGGGUUUCAAAGAGAUAUUACAAAUUCUAAAUCAUUAUAUGCUUUUAUUAUUAUGGUUAUAAGUUUUUAUUGGUCAAUUAAUUAGUUUUUGGGGUUUCAAAGAGACAUUACAAAUUCUAAAUCAUUAUUUGCUUUUAUUAUUAUGGUUAUGAGUUUUGAUAUCAUUAUGUGCUUUUAUUAUUAUGGUUAUGAGUUUUGAUUGGUCCAUUAAUUAGAUUUUGGGGUUUCAAAGAGAAAUUACAAAUUCUAAAUCAUUAUGUGCUUUUAUUAUUAUGGUUAUGAGUUUUGAUUAGUCCAUUAAUUAGUUUUUGUUAUUAGUAUUUAGACAAUUUAUGAUGAACUACCAAAAUACAAUUGGUAUUACAAUAAUGCACAUGUUUAUAUGAUAAUAUGUUAUAAUAUGACAACUACUUAGUCAACUUUGUUGUAUAUCAUUGUUAUUGCAAUUGUAUAAGUCCUUUCGUUGCUAUUAGAUAUUUAAAUAUGUAAGUUGAUUCUAUAAAAUAUUUGUGUGGUAAAAGUUAUUCUUUGCAAAUUAACAUGACACAGAAAUUCUCAAGAUGUCUGUUAUAUUUUCUUGAGCAACAAAAUUUAUUAGUAUAAGAAAGCUCAUUUACGAGUAAUAAAGAUUCAUAUGUUAUUAUAUGUUCGAGAAAGUUGAUAGUGACAUUUGUUUAUGUUUUAAACUGUAGUGACAAAUAUGUGUAUAUAUGAUAUACUUGUGAUUGGCUAUAUCAUGUUACGUUUAUGCAUAAAUUACACAACACAUAAUAAACAAAUGGGUACGUUACUUUAAAUGAUCUUUAAUAUUCAUUUAAUUACAAUCUUAAAUUAUAUGGAGUUAUGAACAUGGAUAUUAAUAUAUAUGAUGUUGGUUAACGCUUAGAAAUUAAAAUCAUUAAAUAUCAUUUUUUCCACUUAAUUCAUUCUUUAUUAAUUUUAAUUCAUUCUUAUUAAUAUCUUUUAAUUAGAAAUUUGAUUAAUUGUUAUUACUUUAAAUGAUCUUUAAUAUUUUUUUCUAGACAUGACAAGCAAAUUAAUAUGAAUUUAAUCUUUUAACACUCACACACAUAUAUAUGUAUACGUAUAAUGUCCUAGGAUUGUGUGUGAUUUAUAUAUGUAAUUGAUAUGCAUAUAAAUUGUGAAUAAUUAACAUGCAUAUAACUUGCUUAUGGGUAGAUAUUACGGAUUUCAUUUGUUUAGCAAUACUUCUGUUGGUCUCAUUGUUUUAGAUAGCAUAUAUGUUAUAUGUAUUGCCUUUUGACAAGUUAAAUGUGCUAAAUAAAUUAAUACAAAUUUCAUUGGUAGCUGGUUACCAAAACAACUAAGCUGAGAUAAACAUUGUUAUGCUUUAGUGAUUUGAUAUUUCAGCUUGUUACAAUGCUAUGCAUAGUCAUCAUAAUUAAUUGUAUGGUUAUUCUUUUAAUUGUUUGUUGUUGCUAAACAAAUAUUAAUAGACAUUGAUAUAGUCAUUAGAAAUGAGCCCUCAUAUGAAAAUGAUGAAAAAUAGCUAUGAAAAUAAUUAAUGGACUUUAGCUUAAGUAAACUACUCUGAUGUUAGUUACUUAAAUUGAUAGAUAAUAAUUCAUUUGAGUUAGUGUUGAUGCUCACAUGAAUCCUAAAUCAACGAUGAGAACCCGAAGUUCUCCCAAAAGUAUACAAAGUCCUGUUUGUUUUUAAUAAUGAUUUUUCAAGUUCAACCCAAAUUUUAGUUCAUCGCACUUGGCAUGGUUUUUAACGAGGCAGAAUUAUAAAGCGCAUUAAAUAAUUAUUUGACAUAUUUACAAACUCGAGACACGGGAUAGUUCCACAAGAACAAUAUGGCGUCCUGGGUUAUGAUUGAUAUAUAUUAGACUUGCAUAGAGUUCGAUCUCAAUCCAGAUACAAGUUAUGAAGGUCGAAGAUUUCAGCAUAUUUAAGAAGUGUGUAGAUUAGAGUUGAUCAAGAGAAGCUCAAGCCAUACUGUAUGAAGACAAUGUAGACAACAACACUUAAAUCAAAGAACACUAUGCCAAAUAUUAAGUCAAGCAAUUGUCACAGAAGAUUGGAUUCAACAUCAUCAAGAUAUACAAGUAAAAUUGAGGGGGAGUAAUGUAACCAUAAUAUACACAGUGUAUGUACUCUUUUUCCUUAAUGAGGCAACAUACCUGAUCCAGAAGUAUCAGGGGGGAGACAAUACGCGCUGCACUCUUUUUCCCUUAGCUGAGGUUUUGUCCCACUGGGUUUUCCUAGCAAGGUUUUUAACGAGGCAGCAUCACCAAGCGUAUUAAAGAAUAGUAUAUCAUCAUGUCGAUAGUCAAGGGGGAGUGUUAUGAAUGCAUCAUUAUUAGUGACUAUCCACAUUUCUAACCCCCAUGUCAUAUUUAUGUUUGUAUUAAUGUUAUAGCCUAUAUAUAGUGGCUCAUGUAUUUUGUAUGGAAUAUCAAUAAGAAAUUAUCUCUUGUACUCUCAUUCUCUUCUAUACAUUGCUAAUAGGUUCUAGU
rnacentral:lncRNA from 1 species